UACGGGGGGUGCGAGCGUUGUCCGGAAUCAUUGGGCGUAAAGAGUUCGUAGGCGGACUGUAAGGUCAGGUGUUAUAGGCGCAGGCUUAACUUGUGUAUGGCACUUGAUACUUGCAGACUAGAAUGCGGUAGAGGUAAAGGGAAUUCCUGGUGUAGCGGUGAAAUGCUUAGAUAUCAGGAGGAACAUCGGUGGCGUAAGCGCUUUACUGGGCCGUAAUUGACGCUGAGGAACGAAAGCCAGGGUAGCAAAU
rnacentral:rRNA from 1 species